AAGAGUAGCCUGUGCAUAUUUCCUUACACAUUAUGCAGUUGAGCAGUUUUACGCCUACCAGUUGAAUUUAUUGGUAUCUUUGAAAUUGAUACCUAGCACAAAGCAAACAAUUUAUCUUUUCCUCUCUUCCGAAUCUUGCUCUUUUGUUUUCUCUUUUUUUGGUGUUAAUAUCAGAACCAGUAUCUACUGUGUCAUCUAAAACAAUUUAGGAGGUUAUCUGAAUUUCCUUAUAUAUCUAGAUUUUUAUCGAUUUCUGUGAGUCAUUUCAUUUGCUGCUACUCUGGUGUUUAUGCCCUUACUGUGCCCUAUUUAUAGUAGUUUCUUAAUUGAUUUUUAUAAUCCUAGUCUAGCUCUCAUUGUCAAGAGUACCAGAUUGGUUUUUCUGAAACUCAAAUAUAAUUACUCAUAACCUCCAUUACUUUUUAUGGUUUCACAAGGAAUUGCAUUUUCUUGUAGAAAAAUUUGAGAAUAAACAAAAUACAAGGAAAUCACCUGAAAAGCUGUCACACAGAUAAUCACUAACAUUUUGGUAUAUGUAUGUUCUUUUUCUUUGUAUUACGGAAAAUCUCAAAAAUUACAAAUGUUUAGAGGAUAGUAAAUUGAAUGUCCACCUUUAUCACUUUUUUUUUUUUUGAGAUAGAGUUUCACUCUUGUUGCCCAGGCUGGAGUGCAGUGGCAUGAUCUUGGCUCACAGCAACAUCCGCCUCUCAGGUUCAAGCGAUUCUCCUGCCUCAUCCUCCCGAGUAGCUGGGAUUACAGGCAUGUGCCAUCAUGCUCGGCUAAUUUUUAGUUUUAUCAGAGAUGGGGUUUCUCCAUGUUGGUCAGGCUGGUCUUGAACUCCUGACCUCAGGUGACCCGCCCGCCUCGGCCUCCCAAAGUGCUGGGAUUAGAGGCAUAAGCCACCACGCCCAGCCAAUCGCUUUUUAAUUCUGGGAUAUUUUAACAAAAAGCUCAGCAAGACUUUUUUUUUUUCUUAAGGUGGAGUCUCGCACUGUCACCUGGGCUGGAGUGCAGUGGCAUGAUCUCGGCUCACUACAACCUUUGCCUCUUGGGUUCAAGUGAGUCUCCUGUCUCAGCCUCCCAAGUAGCUGGGAUUACAAGUGCCCACCACCACGCCCAGCUAAUUUUUUGUAUUUUUAGUAGAGACAGGGUUUCACCAUGUUGGCCAGGCUGGUCUCAAACUCCUGACCUUGUGAUUUGCCUGACUUGGCCUCCCAAAGUGCUGGGAUUACAGGCUUGAGCCACCAUGCCCGGCCAAGACUAUUUUUUAGAACCAUAACCACAAUACAGUUACCACACUUUUGAAAGUCGAUGGGAAUUCCUUAAUAUUUAAAUUUCUCAAUAGGCUAAUUUUUAUUUUUAGGGAUGGGGGCUUGCUGUAUUGACGAGACUGGAGUGCAGUGGCUAUUCCUGAGUAUUGUCAUAGUGACUACACCUCAAACACCUGGGCUCACAUGAUCCUCCUGCCUCAGUGUCCCGAGUAGUAGUGCAGGGACUAUAGGCACUUACCGCUGUGAUCUGCUUAGCUCAUACAUUUUAAAAAAAUAGUUGGUUCAAAUCAGGAUCCGAAAAAGUUACAUAAAUUGUGUUUGAUUAAUGCGUAUCUUGGGUCUCUUUUAGAUCUAGAGUGUCUCUCAUCUUUUUUAAGAAACAUUAUUUGUUGAAGAAAAUGAGUAAUUCUGUAUAAUUCCCCACAUUCUAGACUUUACUGAUUGUAUCCCCAUGAUUUCUCUGCCUCUUGUGUUUCCUGUUAACUAUAGUAACUAUAAGUUAAAUACGGAAGUUUGUGAUUAAGGUGUUUUUUUAUUUUUUUUUUUAUUUUUAUUUUUUUUUGGGAGACAAGAUCUUUCUCUGUUGCCCAGGGUGGAGUGCAGUGGUGCCAUCUCGGCUCAUUGAACCUCUGAUUGCUGGGCUCAAGCAAUCCUCCCACCUCAUCCUCCUGAGUAGCUGGGACUACAGGCGUGUACCACCAAGCCCAGCCAACAUUUAUAUUUUUUGUAGAGAUGGGAUCUCACCAUGUUGCCCAUGCUUGAUUUUUAAUAAGAAUACUUCAUUGGUGGUAUUUAUAGAUUUUGAUUUAUUUCCAAAUUGUUCUUUCAAAAGUUUCAUUUUAUCUAGUCAUUUUACAGGACAGCUUUUAUCAGUUCCUGGUAUAAAAUCCUUUUAGCCUCAGCCUUAUAAUAUGAAUAUCUAUACAUACAUAAUACUUCAUACACACACGAUAUACAUAUAUUCCCAUGUAUAUAUAUGUGUGUGUGUCAGCCACUUACAUGUCCUGUUACUCUUCUAUGAAUCUUAAAUUUGAUAUUGCUGUUUUGAAUCUACUUCAUCCCCUAUGCCUUCUAUAUUCUCUCUGCUUGAAAUCUACCCUCACUAUCUUGAAUGAUGAAGCCUGGUGACAACUUUUUAGAUAAUUUUAUGUAAGAUAAUUAUUUGCUAAGUCAUCCAGUGACAUACUCGGGUAUUGUUUGUCUCCCUACCAGCAGCAUCUAGUAGGUACUUCAAAAUCAGAGCACUUUAUUCUGUAUUUUUAAUUUUUUCUGUCUUUGCCUCUUACCCAGGAAUGCAAACUCAGAUGUCUAUCCACAGAGGCCUAAAGUGGGCUGUAACAUGGUUUGGCAAACUUUUUCUGUAAAUAGCCAGAUAGUAAAUAUUUUUAGCUUUUGAGUAGUUUUGUGGGCAACUACUCAACCCUGUACUCUGCUGUUGUUGCUUGAAAGCAGCCAUAGACAAACCGUAAACAAGUGAGGCUGACUUUGUUCCAAUUUAUCCCAUUUCUUUGCUUUUAAAAAAAUACCUGUGUAUUCGCUUAGCUGGAGUUGGUCUACAGGCUGUAGUUUGCUGACCCCAGGACUAGAGGUUUGUUGCCAUGUGUGAAUUUGUACUUAAUCUACUCAGAUUAAAAGAAAGAAAAGCUGGAAAAUCACUGUAUUUGAUGAAAUAUCCCAUUGUAUAAGUGUUCCCAAAUUAGCCUAGAAUGUUAUGAAAUAUUAUGAGCCAGUAAUGUCUAUAGGCUUAUUUCUGCCUGAAGGCUACUAGUUUUAUCUUGAGAAUCUCAUCCUCAUUUCCUGGCAAAAUGAGCACAGAAUAAAUGCUUGUUGAAUAAAUAAAUAAAUGAACUUCAUACAUUAUUAAUUUGUUUUUGUUUUCUCAAACUACUAGGAAAUUUUGUCUGUGGCUAAAAAAAAUAAAAAGGAGAAUGAGGUAAGAAAUUUAUAAUGUAAGAUUAAGUUUAGAAGUCAUAUUUACUCCUCAGUUACUAGUCCUUUUUCUUUAAUCAGCAGUAUACGUUCUUCUCACUAUUAUCCUGUUUCUUUGCUUUAAAAAAAAAUACCUAUGUAUUCACUUCUUCCAUAUCCAACAUUCUUCUUUUUUAUGUAUCAACUUUAGUUAGUUGUUUUAUUGCAUGAUUCUUGAUGUAUAAAUGUUAAUUUAUGGGUCUAGCAAUGUUGCUUUUAACUUGUGAAUCUGGCAGUGAUACAAGUGCUCGUAACCAUGUGGAUAUAAACCGUGAAUCAUCUUAUGGAAGCUGUGAGGGAUGCCUUAAUCUUGCUUCAGACCUUAAAGAUUUUUUAAGUUUCUUAAAAGUUCUGUUUGAGAAGGCUUGAUUUCCGAGCCACCUCUUCACUUAGCCCAUUUCAUGUAGAGAGGUUCCUUGUUAUCUGACUUUUUAUUGUUCAAGUACUUAAAAUUACAAGGUUGCCUAGGGAAGCAAAAUAAUCAUGACAUGAAAAUAUUCAUGAAUGGAUAUGAACUUCAGGUAGUUAAUUUACAUAUUAAAGAUUUUUAGGCCUUUGGGAAAUUAAUGUUAUGUUUAUAAAAUGAGAGAUAAUCUAUUUGGUCAUAUAAUUUUGUCCAAAAUUUAUAUUGUAAAAGUGUCUUGGUUUUUAUUCUUUGUUAAGUUAUUAAGGACUGGUUUAUGGGUGCAGUUUAGUUGGAUUUUUAAAGAUUUAGUUAGAUAAACAUUUAGUUGGAUUUUUAAGAUAAAGUCUAGAUGUAAUCUUCUGUAAUUUACUAUGGGAUUUUGGCUUCAUUUUAUAACUUACAGUCAGUAAGAAAUAGUUGUUAAGUAUGGUAUUUUAAUGAAUUUCGACACUUGCAUACACUUGUGUAACCACCAUCCAAAUCAAGGUAUAGAACAUUUCCAUUGUAAAGGGAUCUCUUCUAUGUCUUUCCACCCCCAAACCCAGAGGAGGCCACUUUUUACACCUUUUAUAGGAUGGCUUAUUAUUUCCUUUCCACUCAACAUGUCUGUGAUACUCAUUUAUGUUGUUGAGCAUAUUAGUAACCGGUUUCUUCUUAUUGACUAGUAUUCUGUUGAAUGAAUGUUACAAUUUUCUCAUCCAUCCCCUUAUUGAUGGGCAUUUGGGUUGUUUGCAGUUUGUGACUUUUAUGAGUAAGGUUGCUAUGAUAAUUUGCACACAAGUCCAUGUGUAGACAUGUUUUCAUACUUUCUGCCUGUGUACCUGGGAAUGGUAUUGUUGUGUUACGUGGCAAAUGUGUGUUCAUAAGAAAGUACAGAUUUUCCCCCCCAAAGUAAACACAUCAUUUUAUUCUCUCGCCAGCAAUGUUUGAAAACUCCAGCUUACAUUAUUGUCAGCAUUUGAUAGUCUUUUUAAUUUCAGCCAUUUUAUUAGAUGAGAAAUGGUAACUUGUGUGGUUUUUAACUUGCAUUUUCCUAAUUACUACUGAAGUAGAGUAUAUUUUUAUGUUCUUUGAUAACUAUGUUUUCUUUCUUUUUUUUUCUUUUUUGAGAUGGAGUGUCACUCUGUCGCCCAGGCUGGAGUGCAAUGGCACGAUCUCGGCUCACUGUAAACUCUGCCUCCCAGGUUCAAGCGAUUCUCCUGCCUCAGCCUCCCAAGUAGCUGGGACAACAGGCUCAUGCCACCAUGUUCAGCUAAUUUUUGUAUUUUUAGUAGAGACAGUGUGUCACCAUUUUGGCCAGGAUGGUUUUGAUCACUUGACCUCAUGAUCUGCCUGCCUUGGCCUCCCAAAAUGCUGGGAUUACAGGCGUGAGCCACCAUGCCCGGCCUGUAUGUUUUCUUUUGUAAAGUAUCUGUUAAUAUCUUUUGCCCGUCUUAUUUAUGCGUACUGUAUUUUCUGUGUAACAGUUUAAUAAAUUAUUGAGUAUCACAAUAUUAGAAGUUUGGAAGAGAGAUACAAUUCUAAUGAUCUUUUCAAAAGUAUGUGCCUGAUUUUAAUUUGUAAGGGUUAUUCUCAGAUUUUUAUAUUUUAUUUUAUUUUAUUUUAUUUUAUUUUUUGAGAUGGAGUCUUCUGUCACCCAGGCUGGAGUGCAGUGGCUGUGUUCAUGGCUCACUGCAGCCUUGACUUCCUGGGUUUAAGUGAUCCUCAGCCUCCCGAGUAGCUGGGAUACAGGCAGUUGCGUGCAACCACACCCAGCUAAUUUUUUGUAUUUUUAGUAGACACAGGGUUUCGCCAUGUUGUCCAGGGUUGUCUUGGAUACCUGGACUCAGGUGAUCCUCCUGCCUCAGCUUCCCAAAGUGCUGUGAUUGUAGGAUUAGCCACUGUGGCAGCCUGUUAUUUUUUUUUUUAGUAGCUUUUCAUUUGUAGAGGGAUGGCGAUGUCUCCAGUUUUUUAAUCCAGGUGUGAUCUUAGUCUUCUAUACUUAAUGAUUAUAGGACUCAGUAGAUUUUGUUAGUUGCAUUUUCUGAUAAAUGGUGGCAUACAGCAGCAUUUUGUAUAACACAUCUUAUUAAACUUUUUUUCUCUACAGGAUGAAAACUCCUCCUCUACUAAUCUCUGUGUGGAAGAUCUUCAGAAAAAUAAAGAUUCGAAUAGUAUAAUUAAAGAUAGAUUGUCUGAAACGGUUAGGCAGAAUACUAAAUUCUUUUUUGACCCAGUCCGGAAGUGUAAUGGUCAGCCAGUACCUUUUCAACAACCAAAGCACUUCACUGGAGGAGUGAUGCGAUGGUACCAAGUAGAAGGCAUGGAAUGGCUUAGGAUGCUUUGGGAAAAUGGAAUUAAUGGCAUUUUAGCAGAUGAAAUGGGAUUGGGUAAGACAGUUCAGUGCAUUGCUACUAUUGCAUUGAUGAUUCAGAGAGGAGUACCAGGACCUUUUCUUGUCUGUGGCCCUUUGUCUACACUUCCUAACUGGAUGGCUGAAUUCAAAAGAUUUACACCAGAUAUCCCUACAAUGUUAUAUCAUGGAACCCAGGAGGAACGUCAAAAAUUGGUAAGAAAUAUUUACAAACGGAAAGGGACUUUGCAGAUUCAUCCUGUGGUAAUCACGUCAUUUGAAAUAGCCAUGAGAGACCGAAAUGCGUUACAGCAUUGCUAUUGGAAAUACUUAAUAGUAGAUGAAGGACACAGGAUUAAGAAUAUGAAGUGCCGUCUAAUCAGGGAGUUAAAACGAUUCAAUGCUGAUAACAAACUUCUUUUGACUGGUACUCCCUUGCAAAACAAUUUAUCAGAACUUUGGUCAUUGCUAAACUUUUUGUUGCCAGAUGUAUUUGAUGACUUGAAAAGCUUUGAGUCUUGGUUUGACAUCACUAGUCUUUCUGAAACUGCUGAAGAUAUUAUUGCUAAAGAAAGAGAACAGAAUGUAUUGCAUAUGCUGCACCAGAUUUUAACACCUUUCUUAUUGAGAAGACUGAAGUCUGAUGUUGCUCUUGAAGUUCCUCCUAAACGAGAAGUAGUCGUUUAUGCUCCACUUUCAAAGAAGCAGGAGAUCUUUUAUACAGCCAUUGUGAACCGUACAAUUGCAAACAUGUUUGGAUCCAGUGAGAAAGAAACAAUUGAGUUAAGUCCUACUGGUCGACCAAAACGACGAACUAGAAAAUCAAUAAAUUACAGCAAAAUAGAUGAUUUCCCUAAUGAAUUGGAAAAACUGAUCAGUCAAAUACAGCCAGAGGUGGACCGAGAAAGAGCUGUUGUGGAAGUGAAUAUCCCUGUAGAAUCUGAAGUUAAUCUGAAGCUGCAGAAUAUAAUGAUGCUACUUCGUAAAUGUUGUAAUCAUCCAUAUUUGAUUGAAUAUCCUAUAGACCCUGUUACACAAGAAUUUAAGAUCGAUGAAGAAUUGGUAACAAAUUCUGGGAAGUUCUUGAUUUUGGAUCGAAUGCUGCCAGAACUAAAAAAAAGAGGUCACAAGGUGCUGCUUUUUUCACAAAUGACAAGCAUGUUGGACAUUUUGAUGGAUUACUGCCAUCUCAGAGAUUUCAACUUCAGCAGGCUUGAUGGGUCCAUGUCUUACUCAGAGAGAGAAAAAAACAUGCACAGCUUCAACACGGAUCCAGAGGUGUUUAUCUUCUUAGUGAGUACACGAGCUGGUGGCCUGGGCAUUAAUCUGACUGCAGCAGAUACAGUUAUCAUUUAUGAUAGUGAUUGGAACCCCCAGUCGGAUCUUCAGGCCCAGGAUAGAUGUCAUAGAAUUGGUCAGACAAAGCCAGUUGUUGUUUAUCGCCUUGUUACAGCAAAUACUAUCGAUCAGAAAAUUGUGGAAAGAGCAGCUGCUAAAAGGAAACUGGAAAAGUUGAUCAUCCAUAAAAAUCAUUUCAAAGGUGGUCAGUCUGGAUUAAAUCUGUCUAAGAAUUUCUUAGAUCCUAAGGAAUUAAUGGAAUUAUUAAAAUCUAGAGAUUAUGAAAGGGAAAUAAAAGGAUCAAGAGAGAAGGUCAUUAGUGAUAAAGAUCUAGAGUUGUUGUUAGAUCGAAGUGAUCUUAUUGAUCAAAUGAAUGCUUCAGGACCAAUUAAAGAGAAGAUGGGGAUAUUCAAGAUAUUAGAAAAUUCUGAAGAUUCCAGUCCUGAAUGUUUGUUUUAAAGUGGAGCUCAAGAAUAGCUUUUAAAAGUUCUUAUUUACAUCUAGUGAUUUCCCUGUAUUGGGUUUGAAAUACUGAUUGUCCACUUCACCUUUUUUAUUAUAUCAGUUGACAUGUAACUAGUACCAUGCGUACUUAAAUAGAUGGUAAUUUUCUGAGCCUUACCAAGAACAAAGAAGUAUCCAUAUUAAGUUUAGAUUUUCAGUUAAUUUUUGAGACUGAGUAGUAUUCUUGGAUACAGGCUGAUGUGUACUUAACCACUUCCAGAUUUAUACAGUCUUCCUGUGGAAGUUUAGUAAAUGUCUUUUUCCCUCCUUUCUUCUAGUAAUGCAGUUCAUGGGCUUUAGGUACUUCAGUUAUGAAGUAGGCUUUUCAUGGGGAGAGAUUGGGAUUAUGCUCUCUGUUGUUUAAGAAACUGUUUGAUUUUAGAGUCUAUUUCUAUGAGAUAGUUUACCAAAUAAAUGUUCCUUAUAAGAUGAUCUCAUUAAAUUAUUUCUUCAGGAAUAGCUUAGGUGCAAUAAUAGCAAAAGACUUGGCUGUCGGUAGGAUUUGGUUAUUUUGUUUUCUUGGUUUCAUUCACUAGUACUAUAGGAGUGUGUCAUAUAGAGAUUUCAAGUGGACAUUGUGUUAGCACAAGAGAAGUUUCUGAAUGAAACUUUAGGGUCUUGAGAAACGACUAGAAAUUGGAAAUGGUAGUGUAUCAUGCAAAACAAGACAGACCCUGAAAAUUUAUAGUAGUGGGUUAACUAGAACCAAAUAUAAGAGAAUAGGCCUUAGGAAUAUGUAAGUAAUGCACAAUCUGUAAUAGAACAGCAUAAAGGCCAAAAGAGGCACAAUUUAGACCCUGUGUGAAAGGAUAUCAGACAAUGAGGAAGAGAAAUCCUGAAUGUACCCUGGAGAGGGGACAUACUCCAUAAGCCAUACAUUUCUGUGUUAGUGUUUAUUUCAUGGAAAAAUAUUGCUGUUGCCAUGUAUAUUCAAAUGCAGAUCAGAUGAUCUGUUAAGGAUAAUGGAACCGUCACUUAAGAAAAACUUAAUUUUUUUUCCCUGUGUCCUAUUGGCACAGGUCUUUUCUUUUAAAUUUUUAUUUUAAUCGUUUUGAGGUACAGGUGGGUUUUGGUUACAUGGAUAAGUUCUUUGGUGGUGAAGAAAAACUUCAGAUAGAACAUUUGGUUAAAUAAAAGACUAUAGAGCAGGUUUAUUUGUUUUUUAAGUCAAAAUGUUAACCCAUUACAUAAGCAUGCUGACCUAGGCUUGCUUGAAACUCGUGAUCUUGUCCUUAGUGACCCAGUCUUUCCUGUUACAUUGUCCUAAAUGACUGGUUUCAUAGUUUUACUCUGUCAUUGCACGUCUCAUAUCUCCUCCCUCUCACUUUGCUCCCUAUUGCCCUGAGAAAAUAGACGCAGUCAGAAAAGAAUCUUUAAAAGUUGUCACCGUUGCAUCUGUAAACCUAGCAUCUGUGCCCAUCUGUCCCCAUCUGCCCUUUAUUAUAUACUGCGGAUAUAUUGUUUGUCGUAGCUUGAGCCAAUUGCAAUGUCUCAUUUCUUUUAUAACAAAGCUCCUUGAAAAAGAGUUCUAUUAUAGCAAAACUCCUUGCCUGUAUUCAUUGUUUUUAGUUUGUUCUGUUUUUUCUGAACCCAUUCCAAUCAGAUAUUCAUUUCCAUUGGAGCUGGUAUUUUUAAGGUCUCGUGACGUCAGUGACCUCAUUUUACUUGAUCUAUUAGCAGCAUUUCAUACAGUUGUUGACUCUUCUCCAUUAAAACAUUUACUUUAUUUGGCUUCUAGGAAACAUAUUUUCCUGCUUUUUCUUCCUAUUUCUCUGACUCUUUUCUCAGUUUCCUUUGCUGUUUCCUUUUCUAUCCUCUAAACAUUGAAAUAUCCUAAGCCUAGUUUGGGAUUCCCUUGAUGGUCUUCAUUUCUUUAAUGGGAACUGUGCUGGUGACUCAAAUUUAUAUCUCCAGCCAGAACCUUUCUCCUGAAUUCCAGAUUCACAUAUCCGACUGUUUACUAGGUGCUUGAUAACUAUAUCUGUACUUUUCAUCUUGUUUAAUCCAAAUUUACUUCUUUUGCAUUUUCCUUAGUUCAAUAAAUGACAACUUUAUUCUUCCAGUUAUUUAAACCAAAAAUCUUAGAGUCAUUCUUCUCUUCCUUCCCUCAUAUUUCAUGUCUGAUUCUAAAGGAAAUCUUGUUGCCUGUACUUUUUCUUUCUUUCCUUUUUUUCCCCUUUUUUUGAGUCUCGCACUGUCGCCCAGGCUGGAGUGCAGUAGUGCAAUCUCAGCUGACUGCAAUCUCUGUGUCCCGGGUUCAAGCGAUUCUCCUACCUCAGCCUCCUGAGCAGCUGGGGUUACAGGUGCAUGCCACCAUGCCUGGCUAAUUUUUAUAUUUUUAGUAGAGACUGGGUUUCACCAUGUUGGUAAGGCUGGUCUCCAACUCCUGACCUUGUGAUCUGCCCGCCUUGGCCUCCCAAAGUGCUGGGAUUGCAGGCGUGAGCCACCACAUCUGGCUUUUUUUUUUUUUUUUUUUAUAAACAGUUUCACUUCGUCACCUGGGCUGAAGUACAGUGGUGUGAUCUUGGCUCACUGCAACAUCUGCCCCCCGGGUUUAAGUGAUUCUCAUUCCUUGGCCUCCCGAGUAGCUGGGACUAGAAGUGUGCGCCACCACACCUGGCUAAUUUUCUUAUUUUUAGUAGAAACGUGGUUUCACCAUGUUGGCCAGGCUGGUCUCGAACUCCUCACCUCAACUGAUCAUCUGCCUCGGACUAAGUGCUGGGAUUACAGGCCUGAGCCAAUGCGCCCAGCCUACUUUCUAUAAAAGUCGUCAUGUCUCUGCCCCCACCCCCCGCCACCCCCCACAUAGUCUGUUUCAUUUGAUUUUCCCCUUAGUUUAGUGUUUUAUUUUGAUGUUUCUUCAGAUGCCUUGGGAUCAUUUACUGUUCCUCAUAUUUAAGAGCAAAUGCUUAAAAAUUCUUAGAAAUACCUUCUUGAAAAGCCUGCAUUCCUACCACCUCUCACCACUUCAACAUGAAAUAAUGAUCCCUUACAUCUUUUUAGUGUAGUUAUAUAACUUUUGAUUGGCUCAAUAAUUACUUUUAUUAUGGCUGUGUAAGUAUUAUUAAAGCUUUAGAUAAGCCAUGGAAUAUGCUGUGAUUUUAUUUUCAUUCUUGUGCAGCUUUUUUUUUCUCCCUGAAGUUAAUACUUAACUGUUUUUUACCUACCAGUAAUUUAUAUCUAAUCACUCUGGAAAUAUAAGCCCCUCAGUAUAUUAAAACAGAUCUCAUGAUUCAGUAAUAAACCUCCCCCUCCAAAUAUAUCCCAUCACCUCUACUCCCUGGAACAUUCUUCUAGUUUGGACUGUAGAACUGAUUCCAUCUGGAACCUUCCUUUACCAUACUCCUGGGUAUUCCUGUUGGCUGUUUCAUGUUUUGGAAUUACUGUUUACUGUGUCUUGUGUCUCCCCCCCCCCCCCUUUUUUUUUCCUUUAAGACAGAGUUUCACUCUUGUUGCCCAGGCUGGAGUGCAAUGGCUUGAUCUCGGCUCACUGCAACCUCUGUCUCCCAGGUUUAAACUAUUCUCCUGCCUCAGCCUCCUGAGUAGCUAGAAUUACAAGCGCCCACCACCAUGCCCAGCUAAUUUUUGUAUUUUUAGUAGGGACAGGGUUUCACCAUGUUGGCCACGCUGGUCUCGAACUCCUGACCUCAGGUGAUCCACCCUCCUCGGCCUCCCAAAGUGUUGGUACUACAGGUGUGAGCCACUGCGCCUGGCUGGAUCUAACUUUUUUUCCUCCUUGGUUUACUCGCUCACUUUGAUGGAUUAUGUUGUCUUGUGUUUUCCCAAGAAAAGAAUUCAAGGGAAAUGAAUUUUUUGAGAACUCGCAUAUCUGGCUGUAUUUUUGUUGGAUUCUUAUAUUUGAUGGAUAGUUCUGGUUUGGGAUUUUAGAGUAGGAAUUAUUAUCUUCUCAGAAUUUCGAAAGUUGUUGUGUUGUCUCAGAACUUCCAGUGUUGUGGGAGAGAAAAUUAAUGGUUCCUUUUUUUUUUUUUUUUUUUUGAGACAGGGUCUCAUUCUGUCACCUAGGCAUGAAUACAGCUCACUGCAGCCUUGACCUCCCGGGCUCAAGUGAUCCUCCUGCCUCAGCCACCAAUUUAGUUUGGACCACAGCCAUGCACCAAAUGCCCUGCUAAAUUUUUAAUUUUUUGUGGAGACAGGGUCUCACCAUGUUGCCCAGGCUGGUCCUGAACUCCUGGGCUCCAGCAAUUCCCCCCGGCUUGGCCUCCCAAAGGGCUGGGAUUACAGGUGUGAGCUCCUGCACCUGGCCCGAAUGCUGCUUUGAUUUCCAGUCUGUUGAAGGUGGGGGGAACCAGCCUUUUGUUAAUGUGAGCUUCCAGUGUUUCUUUGUCUUUUGUAUUCUAAAUUAAUAACACAGUGAUGUGUCUUGGUAUGGGUCUUUUUUUUUUUUCUUUUUUUUUUUCAUUUUUAAAGAGACUCCUGCUAUGUUGCACAGACUUGUGAAUUCCUGGUUUCAAGUUAUCUUUCCCCCUAUGUCACUCAAGUAAUGUGGACUACACUCAUGUGACACCAUGCCCAUCUUUAUGUUGUGUAUCUUAUUUUUGUUUUGUUUUACUCUUGAAUCAGCUCAGUCUGAAAAUCUGUCUUUUAAUUCAUGGGGAUUUUUUAGAAUGAUUUCUUGGAGGGUUUUGUCUUUUGAAUGUGUGGUCCCUUCUCUGCCUAGAAUUUUUUUGUUUGAAUGAGACAUGGUCUUGCUGUUGUCCAGGUUGGAGAGCAGUGGUGCAACUAUAGCUCACUACAUUCUUGAAUUUCUGGGCUCAAGCCAUCUUCCCAUCUCAGCUUUCAGAAUAUCUUGGCUACAGGCAUGUGACACUAUGCCCAGAUAAUUUAAAAAAAAAAAAAAAAUUUCUUGAGACAGGGUCUUGCUAUGUUGCCCAGGCUCGUCUUGAAUUCCUGUUCUCAGAGGGUCCUCCUAUGUUUGCUUCCCAAAGCAUUGGUAUUAUAUGUAUGAGCCACCACCACUAGCACUUCUGCCUAGAACUCGUAACAAAAUUUCUUUCCCCCAUCUGCAUAGUCUUGUUUCAUUAAAUGAUUCUUCCCUUUUUAAAGUUUAGUCUGUCUUUUAUUUUGAUGCUUCUUCAAAUGCCUUGGGAUCAUUUACUGUUCCUCAAAUUUAAGAGCUAGAAGAAAUCUCUCUAAGCUCCAUGCAUGAGGGUUCUCAACAGGUGGAUUUUACUCCAGUGUGAUUUCACUAGACCAUUUAUUUGAGGGUCACCCAAUUGUCAGUAUAUGUAUAUGAGAGAGAAUAUGUACAUAUAUAUCUGAGAGAAAUUCUCUAAUCACUUGUCCUGUGUGAGUAUAUGUACUUUGCCAGUUUUCUUUUGGGGUGAGGAGGAGGGACAGUGUAUUAGAGAUUUUACUGUUCAAAAUGUAGACUUCCUCAGUUUUCAGUAAAAUACUCUACCCUGUCUAUAUGUGGAUUCCCCUAUUCCAGACUGAUUCACCCUUUUCAGUGAGUUAGUCGUGACAUUUCUUACACUGUGAGGGGGAGUGGUAAUUACUUUACAGGGAGGUAUGGGGCCAUGGUGUUUGACUCUUCUUUCAACCACUUCUGGGUUUUUUAGUGAAAACCUCUAUCUAACACUGAUACUUUCAUUUCUGUUGUCUAUUGAGUCAGUUAACACUGAUCCAUUUAUUUUUCAGUUCCCAAAAUCUUGCUUUGCCAUUGCUUCUAUUUUAUUGUCUGGGGGUGUUUAACACCUGUUUCAUUUUUUACAGUCAUUUAGUUUCCAGAUUUUAGUAAGGGACAGAGGGGAAUAGAUGGACUCAUUUCAUGAUGUAGAAACAAAUACUCCCUGUCUUGUCUUACAUGAAAAAUUAUUCUUAAACUAGGCCUUAUCUUUGAGAACCUGAUCAAAGUAUAAAAAAUACUUUUUGGCUUUAUUUCUUUAGUGAGUCACUAUUCCAUAUUUUGAAGGUGUUAAGAGGUAUGGUAAAGGUGGUACUUGAACAUUUCCAAGCAAACGUGUGAUGAAAUCUUUCAUCAAUGUCUUAGCAAUGGUAUAUGAUUUUUUUAGUCUUAGCAAUUUUAGAUAAGUUUUUUUUUUGUCUUGUUUUUUUGAGACGGAGUCUUGCUCUGUCGCCUAGGCUACAGUGUAGUGGCGUGAUCUCGGCUCACUGCAGCCUCUGCCUCCGAGCGGGGUCCAGCGAUUCUCCUGCAUCAGCCUCCUGGGUAGUUGGGAUUACAGGUGCAUGCCACCACACCCAACUGAUUUUUGUAUUUUUAGUAGAGACAGGGUUUCACCAUCUUGGCCUGACUGGUCCCGAACUGAUCUCAGGUGAUCUGCCCACCUCGGCCUCCCAAAGUGCUGGGAUUACAAGCGUGAGCCACUGCGUGGCCUGAGCACUAGGGCGCAAGAGAAGCCGUACUGGAAUAUUACACUACUCAGCACAAGACAGGUUUAAUCUUUUUCUUGGGGGACAAGAUUGGAAAAUUGAGGUCUGAGCAGACCUGAAGAGAGGCAUCCAGCAACUCUGAGAUUAAAUUCAUCAUUGAUCAAUUCGUUAUUGUUUGGAAUUGACGUUUAGCUGUGUUCCUCACUCAGAUACGUGCAUGAUAGCUGCUUGCUAAUUUGGUCUUAGCUCACAUUUCACCUAGAAUGUAUGGUCUCCCUCUCCCCUGCAAAAUAUCCCACUGUUGCUAAUCUGUCUGCCUCAUAAUUUCCAUGAGAUUGAGCAUCUUGUUUGUUUUGUCACCACUAUAUAACAGCAUGUUGGAAACAAAGCAGUAAUAAAGCUAGAAAAACCAAGCGAAUACACUGGAUUAAAAAAAAUACUGUUUCCUAGAAUUAAAGAAAUAAAUGAGGCCGGGCGCAGUGGUGCCUGUAAUCCCAGCAGUUUGGGAGGCUGAGGCUAGUGGAUCAUGUGGCCGAGAUCGCGUCACUGCACUCCAGUCUAGCAACAGAGCGAUACCUUGUUUCUUACUUAAAAAAAAAAAAAGACCUCAUUUGUUAACUGUUAAACAGAAAACAAGAAAUUCCCUAUACCUGUAUGCAUUAUAGAGCAAAUAAGAGCAUCAAAAACAAUCUUAGAAAUCUUUCAGAGAAAGGUCACCUACAAAGGAACAUUGAUCAGAUAAUAGAUUUUUUUUUUUUUCUCAGAUGGAGUUCUGCUCUUGUCGCCCAGACUGGAGUGCAAUGGCACGAUGUUGGCUCACUGCAAUCUCCGCUUCCCAGGUUCAAGCAGUUCUCCAGCCUUAGCCUCCCAAGUAGCUGGGAUUACAGGCUCCCACUACCAUUCCCAGAAUUUUUGUAUUUUAAUUAGUAGAGACGGGGUUUCGCCAUGUUGGCCAGGCUAGCCUCGAACUCCUGAACUCAGGUGAUCUGCCUGCCUCGGCCUCACAAAGUGCUGUGAUUACAGGGUGUGAGCCACUGCACCUGGCCGAUAACAGAUGUUUUAAUAGUAAGAUAAAAAGUAAAAUUUCCAGUGUGUCGAAGGAAGAAAAUUACAGCCUAGAAUUUUAUCUUCAUGUACAUUAUUUAAGUGUGAGGGAAUAGUUUCAGUGACAUUAUGUCAUUGAAGACCUUAGAAGAUUUCCCUCGCUAAAGGAGAUAAAGCGACUGGCACAACAUGUAUUUCUCUGAGUAAUUAGAAGUGUUCUUUUCUGGCUGUACUGAAGGGACUUUCAUGAUUUCUUCGUUUUUGUACUCUUAGUUUUAUAAUAUUGCAUAGUAGCUAAGGCCUGGCUGUAGCAGUUAUAAACUGUUCUGCAAGUGCGGGAAGUAAUAGUUAUUCCUAUCUCAAGGAUGUGGGGUUUAAAUGGGUUAGUGCACAAAAGGACAUUUAUUAAAUUUAGUCAUAAUCAUCUCAAGGACAUGGUAAGUGAAAGAGUGUACAUAAAGUACUUAAUGUAAUGUUUGCUACUUAAUGUUCAAUAACUCAAAGAGACCACCACCACUACUACAUUUUACUUUUAUUAGUAAUUAAUAAUAAUUAAUAAUUAGUAAUUCAGUGGUAAUUAGUAUACUACCAAAGAAAGUACUUGAGCAGAAGAGCCAAAAUUCAAACCAUAGAAUCAUUUUACUGUGCUUUUAUUCUACCUCAAACACUAAUCUCCAGGCCUUGGAUAAAGGGAUUAUUUCUCUGAAGGGGAAAGUUAUCCUCUUUUUGCCCAAGUCACACUUGUGUCAUUUCUUAUACUGUAAACAUGUGGUUCCAAUUCUGAGGUAUUUUCCCGGUUUGUAGGACCCAAAAAGAAGUUAGGCUUGAGAAAUUUUAAGUGAAGAGAACAAUUCUAGUUCAGAGUGAUUGGCUCUUCCUAAAAGCUGACAUUUGACUGAAAAUUUUGAGGGGAGGGAAAGAAACAAUACCUUUUACGGCAUGUAAUAGGAAGAAGACCUGGAUUUUAGUUGCUGCUCUGAUGUCCCAACUUGGGUAAGGCAACAUAACAUAAAUGUCAGUUUCUUCAGAUUUGUGAUGAAGCUGAUAAUCCAUGCUCAGCUUCCUUUAUGGGUCUCUUGCCUAUCAAAUAAGGUACAGUAUGUGAAGAUACAUUGCAGAUUAUCUUAUGCAUUGCUUCAGGGGAUGAUUAAACCAUCCUUUAUUAUAGCCAGAGUCUAGUCUAAGGGAAGAAGGUCAUUCUCUAUACCAGUGAAGGCUCCAUCCAAACCAGUGUUUGGGGGCAUAGUCAUAAUUGAAAAAUGAUUGUUUUCCUUAUCUGUAAGACAGGUAAAUGGUAUUAAUCCUCAGGUGGUUGUGAGGAUUAAGUGAUACAUGUAAAAAAAAGAAAGCUUUGGAUAGUACCUAUUAUAAGAAACUCAGUGUUGCUGCAAUGUAUGUAUUAUAAUGGAUUUGAAAUUUGCCCUAACCAAGAGUCACAGACAGAAAAAAGGAAGUUAAUGUAUCUCUUGAUCACUAUCAAGAUGUGGUAUUGAACCUUCAAGAUCCUUUUCAGGGAAUAUGUGAGAUCAAAAUUUUUAUACUGGCACUAUGAUGUUAUUUGCCUUUUCCUCAUAUUCACAAGUGAACAGUGGAGUUUUACAGAAGCUAUAUAAUGUCAUGACAUCACUGAUGGGUAAUAGAAUGUGUGCUUGUAUAUUCCGAAACUUUCAGUUCCAAUUUCUUCGAUCAAUGUAAUCCUCAUAAGUAAAAGUUAUUUGAGGACCUCAGACAUUUUUAAAAAUGUAAAGGGGGUGGGGUCAGGCUCAGUGGCUCAUGCCUGUAAUCCCAGCAUUUUGGAAGGCCGAGGCGAACGGAUCACUUGAGGCCAGGAGUUUGAAACUAGUCUGGUCAACAUGGUGAAACCCCGUCUCCACUAAAACAAAAAGUUUUCUGGAUGUGGUGGCACACAUACCUGUAAUCCCAGCUACUUUGGUGGCUGAGGCAUGAGAAUCACUUGAACCCAGAAGACAGGUUGCAGUGAGCCAAGAUUGUGCCCCUGCAUUCUAGCCUGGGUGACAGUGAGACUGUCUCAAAAAAUAAAGGUGUACAGGGAUUGUAUAUUUGACAACUUGGUAUGUAGGAUGUGCUACCUCUAAUGUUCCAUGCUGUUACUUAGUUUUCACUCACUACUAUAUUUUGGAGAUUUGUUCAUAUUGCUCUGUGUACAUUUAAUUCUUCAGUGUGUAUCCACCACAUUUAACUUAUUCACUUACAGAACUAUGCAAGAAUUUCUCUGGUAAAUUUCACUAAGUACUUAUGUACUUUUCAGAACGAUUGUGAGUUUACACCCCUACCAGCAGGACUGAGUUGAGUACCCAUUUCCUCACAUCCUUGCCAGUACUUCAUUUGCCUAAUUUUUGCCAUUCUCAUAAUGUGGCAAUUGUUCAAUUUUGCAUUUCUUCCAUUUUAUUUUUUUGCAUCUCUGCUUUUCUUUUGGUUAGCUUUGCCAGUUCUGCCUAUUAUAUUAAUCUCCCAGAAUCAGCUUUUAGUUUUGUUAAAUCUCUGACAUGUUUCGUUGAUUCCUGCUUUCAUCUUAAACAUUUCUUCGUUGUUAAUUUGUGUUUGCUAUAAAAUAAGCAACAUCUUAAAUGCUUGAUUUGCUUUCGAUGUUUAUUCUGUAAUAAGAUAUUUAAAGAUAUAAUUUUUUCCCUAAAUGCUUUAUUAGACUUUUCUCAUAAGUUUUGACUGGUACUGUUUUCAUUGUUAUUUAAUUUUGUGUUUUUUAACUUCUUUCAUGAUUUCCUUUUAACUGAAGGUUUUCUUAGAUAUUUAGUUUGCUGGUAUAUUCUUUUAAAAUUGUAUCAUUGCUUUCUUUCUAUAUUGGAUUAUUGUCAGAGAACAUGAUUUGCAUGAUAUUAACUUUUUGGAGUAUAUUGUUGCAUCUUUGUGGCCUAGUACAUAGUUAAUUUAGUGAAUGCUUCCAGUUGUACUUGAAAAGAAUGUAUAUUUUCUGAUUAUUGAGGGUAAAUUUCUCUAUAUAUGUUUUCCUGUUUAAUAAAUAUGUAGCUAUGUGCUUA